CCUACGGGUGGCUGCAGUGGGGAAUAUUGCGCAAUGGGCGAAAGCCUGACGCAGCGACGCCGCGUGAGGGAUGAAGGCCUUCGGAUCGUAAACCUCCGUUAGCAGGGAAGAACGGUCACUGUGCUAAUCAGCAGUGAAUUGACGGUACCUGCAAAGGAAGCAUCGGCUAACUCCGUGCCAGCAGCUGCGGUAAUACGGAGGGUGCGAGCGUUAAUCGGAAUUACUGGGCGUAAAGCGCUCGUAGGCGGUAUGUCAAGUCAAGGGUGAAAUCCCCGCGCUCAACGUGGGAACUGCCUUUGAAACUGGCAGACUGGAGUGUGGGAGAGGAUGGUGGAAUUCCAGGUGUAGGAGUGAAAGCCGUAGAUAUCUGGAGGAACAUCAGUGGCGAAGGCGACUAUCUGGCACAUAACUGACGCUGAGGAGCGAAAGCGUGGGUAGCAAACAGGAUUAGAUACCCGUGUAGUC
rnacentral:rRNA from 1 species